rfam:Ictidomys tridecemlineatus contig054654, whole genome shotgun sequence.
GGAGUUGUAGCUUAGUGGUAGAGUGCUUGCCUUGCAUGCAUGACACACUGGGUUUAAUCCUCAGCACCA